UACAGAGGGUGCAAGCGUUGUUCGGAAUUACUGGGCGUAAAGGGCGCGUAGGCGGUUUCGUAAGUCCCGUGUGAAAGCCCCCGGCUCAACUGGGGAAUUGCACGGGAAACUGCGAGGCUUGAGUUCGGGAGAGGGAAGCGGAAUUUCGGGUGUAGCGGUGAAAUGCGUAGAUAUCCGGAGGAACACCGGUGGCGAAGGCGGCUUCCUGGACCGACACUGACGCUGAGGCGCGAAAGCUAGGGGAGCAAACGGG
rnacentral:rRNA from 1 species